rnacentral:lncRNA from 1 species
GUCCAAAGUACCAAAAGCUCUCCACGCACCAGCAGCCCCCGGAGUCUACUUCAGCAGCAACCCUGGGUUUUGUUUCCACACGGUGUCCAGAAGUUUGCUUCCGGAGGUUAGAUAUGACUGUAGGUGCCUGCCUGAGUACCGGCCUCCUCGAGAACAGGUAUCGCCGGGUCUCAGACCCGCCCGCCGCCCGGCAAAGAAGCCACAGCGACAUCGAGAAGGCCGCCCGCCCCGGCUAACUUCCGCCCUUCCCCCCACCCCCGCCGGCUCGUGAGGUAUCUCUAAGGGUACGGCUCGGGAUUUCUCGGCGCUCUCCUGACCAAACCCCCAAGGAAAAUCAGCUUCUCGAUUACCUCCACCCAGCUCUGGCUUCCGUGGACGCCAAUUCCCUCUUCCUGGGCUCGGCUAUCAAGUCACCACACCUCACGCCGUCGCGGGGAGGCAGGCAGGUGCGGGUUCCCGCGCCCCCGGGGGCGGUGCCGGGAAGGCGCGAGGCCCCGGGCGCGCGCGCGCGGACCUUGCGAGUUCAGUCUCCGGCGUGACCCCUCUAGCGCCUCGAGACCCUACCCCGGCUCGCCAUUCUGGGGUCUCGUGCUGUGGGCCGGGCGCCCACCGGAAACGAAAGGACGGCUUCCG